rnacentral:rRNA from 1 species
CCUACGGGAGGCAGCAGUGAGGAAUAUUGGUCAAUGGGCGGGAGCCUGAACCAGCCAAGCCGCGUGAAGGAAGAAGGCGCUAAGCGUUGUAAACCUCUUUUGUCGGGGAACAAAGGGCGCCACGUGUGGCGUUGUGAGUGUACCCGAAGAAAAAGCAUCGGCUAACUCCGUGCCAGCAGCCGCGGUAAUACGGAGGAUGCGAGCGUUAUCCGGAUUUAUUGGGUUUAAAGGGUGCGUAGGCGGUCCGGAAAGUCAGCGGUAAAAGGCCGGGGCUCAACCCCGACGAGCCGUUGAAACUGUCGGACUAGAGACGGCGAGAGGUACGCGGAAUGCGCGGUGUAGCGGUGAAAUGCAUAGAUAUCGCGCAGAACUCCGAUUGCGAAGGCAGCGUACCGGCGCCGGACUGACGCUGAGGCACGAAAGCGUGGGUAUCGAACAGGAUUAGAUACCCUGGUAGUC